GACUCUCGGCAACGGAUAUCUAGGCUCUCGCAUCGAUGAAGAACGUAGCAAACUGCGAUACUUGGUGUGAAUUGCAGAAUCCCGUGAACCAUCGAGUCUUUGAACGCAAGUUGCGCCCGAAGCCAUUAGGCCGAGGGCACGUCUGCCUGGGCGUCAGGCUUGGC
rnacentral:rRNA from 1 species